rnacentral:rRNA from 1 species
AUCAACUUUCGAUGGUAGGAUAGAGGCCUACCAUGGUGGUAACGGGUAACGGGGUGUUAGGGCACGACACCGGAGAGGGAGCCUGAGAAACGGCUACCACAUCCAAGGAUGGCAGCAGGCGCGCAAAUUACCCAAUCCCGACACGGGGAGGUAGUGACAAUAAAUAACAAUACGGGGUCCUUUCGGGUUUCGUAAUUGGAAUGAGUACAAUUUAAAUCUCUUAACGAGGAACAAUUGGAGAGCAAGUCUGGUGCCAGCAGCCGCGGUAAUUCCAGCUCCAAUAGCGUAUAUUAAAGUUGUUGCAGUUAAAAAGCUCGUAGUUGAAUUUCGGGAUCAUCAGGUUGGUCGUGCCUCUGGUAUGUACUGAUUUCGAUGGUCCCUCCUUCUUGAAGAGCCGUAAUGCCAUUAAUUUGGUGUUGCGGGGAAUCAGGACUGUUACUUUGAAAAAAUUAGAGUGUUUAAAGCAGGCAAUCGCUUGAAUACAUUAGCAUGGAAUAAUGAAAUAGGACGUUCGAUCCUAUUUUGUUGGUUUCUAGGAUUGACGUAAUGAUUAAUAGGGAUAGUUGGGGGCAUUAGUAUUCAAUUGUCAGAGGUGAAAUUCUUGGAUUUAUUGAAGACUAACUACUGCGAAAGCAUUUGCCAAGGAUGUUUUCAUUAAUCAAGAACGAAAGUUAGGGGAUCGAAGACGAUCAGAUACCGUCGUAGUCUUAACCAUAAACUAUGCCGACUAGGGAUCGGAUGAUGUUAAUUUUUUAAUGACUCAUUCGGCGCCUUACGGGAAACCAAAGUGUUUGGGUUC